GCAUUAAUGGGGUAGCGGUACAUAACCCAGGUCAUGUGAAUGUGGUCCAUCCAUAUCAUCUGUCUGGCCAGCUGGGGGUUCAAAUCCCCCUUAAUGCA